rnacentral:rRNA from 1 species
CCUACGGGAGGCAGCAGUGGGGAAUAUUGCACAAUGGGCGAAAGCCUGAUGCAGCAACGCCGCGUGAAGGAAGACGGUUUUCGGAUUGUAAACUUCUAUCAAUAGGGAAGAAAGAAAUGACGGUACCUAAAUAAGAAGCCCCGGCUAACUACGUGCCAGCAGCCGCGGUAAUACGUAGGGGGCAAGCGUUAUCCGGAAUUACUGGGUGUAAAGGGAGAGUAGGCGGCAAGGUAAGCGAUAUGUGAAAGCCUUAAGCUUAACUAAAGGAUUGCAUAACGAACUAUCUAGCUAGAGUACAGGAGAGGAAAGCGGAAUUCCUAGUGUAGCGGUGAAAUGCGUAGAUAUUAGGAGGAACAUCGGUGGCGUAAGCGCUUUACUGGGCCGUAAUUGACGCUGAGGAACGAAAGCCAGGGUAGCAAAUGGGAUUAGAUACCCUUGUAGUC